GUGUUGCCAGGCGCCGUUGCAGUGGGCAGUGGCAGGCAAGCCGGGGUAGACGUUGUAGCCGUGGUCCUUGCUGCCCAGAAACACCUCACCUUUGGCGAAGGCAUCCUUCGAACAGAGUGAGGAGGGAAGACACAGAGAAUGAACCAACCAACAACACAGAAAUACGCUCGCAGCGUGGCUCUCAGGAUGUCAACGUCUGUCAUUUUUAACAUCCUCCUACUCUGCUGGUCCACCACGUUUGAUCAAACUCAAAUAUCUGAACAGCUACAGGACAGAUUUCCCAUCAUAUCCAUGAAAACAUGAAACCCAUCAAGCCACCACUGUCGGAGAGGUCGCGAUCAAGAGCCGCAGUCACUCAGGCAUCGACAACUGGCUCGAAAUACAAGCUGACGCCUGUCCAGAAGUCUGUCUGAUGGGUGUAGGUGUUUGUGUGAAGGUG